rnacentral:rRNA from 1 species
AUUGAACGCUGGCGGAAUGCUUUACACAUGCAAGUCGAGCGGCAGCGCGGGGCAACCUGGCGGCGAGCGGCGAACGGGUGAGUAAUACAUCGGAACGUGCCCAGACGUGGGGGAUAACUACUCGAAAGAGUGGCUAAUACCGCAUACGAUCUACGGAUGAAAGCGGGGGAUCGCAAGACCUCGCGCGUCUGGAGCGGCUGAUGGCAGAUUAGGUAGUUGGUGGGAUAAAAGCCUACCAAGCCAACGAUCUGUAGCUGGUCUGAGAGGAUGAUCAGCCACACUGGGACUGAGACACGGCCCAGACUCCUACGGGAGGCAGCAGUGGGGAAUUUUGGACAAUGGGCGAAAGCCUGAUCCAGCCAUUCCGCGUGCAGGAUGAAGGCCCUCGGGUUGUAAACUGCUUUUGUACAGAACGAAAAGACUCUGGCUAAUACCUGGAGUCCAUGACGGUACUGUAAGAAUAAGCACCGGCUAACUACGUGCCAG